rnacentral:tRNA from 1 species
GGUUGAAUGUCUGAGUGGUCUAAAGAGUACGCCUCGAAAGCGUAUGAAGCCCAUGGCUUCCGGGAGUUCGAAUCUCCCUUCAACCGCCA